CCUUCGGGAGCUUAUACAGGUGUUGCAUGGCUGUCGUCAGCUCGUGCCGUGAGAUGUUCGGUUAAGUCCGCUAACGAGCGCAACCCUCGCCGUAUGUUACAAGUGUCAUACGGGACUGCCGGUAAAAAGCCGGAGGAAGGUGAGGAUGAUGUCAAGUCAGCAUGACCUUUAUAUCCAGGGCUACACACACGCUACAAUGGCCAACACAAUAGGUUGCUAAGCCGCGAGGUGGCGCCAAUCCAUAAAGUUGGUCUCAGUUCAGAUUGUAGGCUGCAACCCGCCUGCAUGAAGAUGGAGUUGCUAGUAACCGCAGGUCAGCUAUACUGCGGUGAAUACGUUCCCGGGGCUU
rnacentral:rRNA from 1 species